rnacentral:rRNA from 1 species
AAGCGAAAGGAGCUUGCUCCUUAAGCUUAGUGGCGGACGGGUGAGUAACGUGUGGGCAACCUGCCUUUUACAGGGGAAUAAUCACUGGAAACGGUGACUAAUACCGCAUACGAUCUUCGGAAGGCAUCUUCUGGAGAGGAAAGGAGCAAUCCGGUAAAAGAUGGGCCCGCAUCUGAUUAGCUAGUUGGUGAGAUAAUAGCCCACCAAGGCAACGAUCAGUAGCCGACCUGAGAGGGUGAUCGGCCACAUUGGGACUGAGACACGGUCCAAACUCC